AUUGAACGCUAGCGGGAUGCUUUACACAUGCAAGUCGAACGGCAGCGCGGACUUCGGUCUGGCGGCGAGUGGCGAACGGGUGAGUAAUGUAUCGGAACGUGCCCAGUAGCGGGGGAUAACUACGCGAAAGCGUAGCUAAUACCGCAUACGCCCUACGGGGGAAAGCAGGGGAUCGUAAGACCUUGCACUAUUGGAGCGGCCGAUAUCGGAUUAGCUAGUUGGUGAGGUAACGGCUCACCAAGGCGACGAUCCGUAGCUGGUUUGAGAGGACGACCAGCCACACUGGGACGUGGACACGGCCCAGACUCCUACGGGAGGCAGCAGUGGGGAAUUUUGGACAAUGGGGGCAACCCUGAUCCAGCCAUCCCGCGUGUGCGAUGAAGGCCUUCGGGUUGUAAAGCACUUUUGGCAGGAAAGAAACGUCGCGGGCUAAUACCCCGUGGAACUGACGGUACCUGCAGAAUAAGCACCGGCUAACUACGUG
rnacentral:rRNA from 1 species